rnacentral:rRNA from 1 species
AUUGAACGCUGGCGGCAUGCCUUACACAUGCAAGUCGAACGGUAACAGGUCUUCGGAUGCUGACGAGUGGCGAACGGGUGAGUAAUACAUCGGAACGUGCCCGAUCGUGGGGGAUAACGGAGCGAAAGCUUUGCUAAUACCGCAUACGAUCUACGGAUGAAAGCAGGGGACCGCAAGGCCUUGCGCGGACGGAGCGGCCGGUGGCAGAUUAGGUAGUUGGUGGGAUAAAAGCUUACCAAGCCGAGGAUCUGUAGCUGGUCUGAGAGGACGACCAGCCACACUGGGACUGAGAAACGGCCCAGACUCCUACGGGAGGCAGCAGUGGGGAAUUUUGGACAAUGGGCGAAAGCCUGAUCCAGCCAUGCCGCGUGCAGGAUGAAGGCCUUCGGGUUGUAAACUGCCUUUGUACGGAACGAAAAGACUCUUUCUAAUAAAGAGGGUCCAUGACGGUACCGUAAGAAUAAGCACCGGCUAACUACGUGCCAGCCGCCGCGGUAA